GACGAACGCUGGCGGCGUGCCUAAUACAUGCAAGUUGAGCGCUGAAGGUUGGUACUUGUACCGACUGGAUGAGCAGCGAACGGGUGAGUAACGCGUGGGGAAUCUGCCUUUGAGCGGGGGACAACAUUUGGAAGCGAAUGCUAAUACCGCAUAAAAACUUUAAACACAAGUUUUAAGUUUGAAAGAUGCAAUUGCAUCACUCAAAGAUGAUCCCGCGUUGUAUUAGCUAGUUGGUGAGGUAAAGGCUCACCAAGGCGAUGAUACAUAGCCGACCUGAGAGGGUGAACGGCCAAAAUGGGACGGGGACACGGCACAAACUCCUACGGGAGGCAGCAGGAGGGAAUCAUCGGCAAUGGACGAAAGUCUGACCGAGCAACGCCGGGUGAGUGAAGAAGGGUUUCGGAUCGUAAAACUCUGUUGGUAGGGAAGAAAGUUGGUGAGAGUGGAAAGCUCAUCAAGUGACGGUAACUACCCAGAAAGGGACGGCUAACUACGUG
rnacentral:rRNA from 1 species